UACGUAGGAGGCAAGCGUUGUCCGGAAUCACUGGGCGUAAAGCGCGUGUAGGCGGAUCGCUAAGUCUGUGGUGAAAGCGCCUGGCUUAACCGGGCGAGGUCCAUGGAAACUAGCGGUCUGGAGGCCGGUAGAGGGGGGUGGAAUUCCGGGUGUAGUGGUGAAAUGCGUAGAGAUCCGGAGGAACACCAGUGGCGAAGGCGGCCCCCUGGGCCGCGCCUGACGCUGAGACGCGAAAGCGCGGGGAGCAAACGGG
rnacentral:rRNA from 1 species